GACAGAGGCCUCAAGCGUUAGGCGGAAUCACUGGGCUUAAAGCGUGUGUAGGCGGCUCGUUAAGUGUCUUGUGAAAUCCCACGGCUCACCCGUGGAACUGCUGGGCAUACUGGCGAUCUUGGGCCAACUAGGGGCAACUGGAACAAGCGGUGGAGCGGUGAAAUGCGUAGAUAUCGCUUGGAACGCCGAAGGUGAAAACAGGUUGCUGGGGUUGUGCCGACGCUGAGACACGAAAGCCAGGGGAGCAAACGGG
rnacentral:rRNA from 1 species